rnacentral:rRNA from 1 species
GCUCCCUACGGGGCGCAGCAGUGGGGAAUAUUGCACAAUGGGGGAAACCCUGAUGCAGCGACGCCGCGUGAGUGAUGAAGUAUUUCGGUAUGUAAAGCUCUAUCAGCAGGGAAGAUAAUGACGGUACCUGACUAAGAAGCUCCGGCUAAAUACGUGCCAGCAGCCGCGGUAAUACGUAGGGGGCAAGCGUUAUCCGGAUUUACUGGGUGUAAAGGGAGCGUAGACGGCUGUACAAGUCUGAAGUGAAAGCCCGUGGCUCAACCGCGGAACUGCUUUGGAAACUGUAAAGCUGGAGUACU